GUCUAAGGGCGUAUGGUGGAUGCCUUGGGAUAUUGAGGCGAUGAAGGGCGUGGCGUGACUGCGAUAAGUCCCGGUGAGGUGUCUAGCAACCUUUGACCCGGGAAUUUCCGAAUGGGGAAACCCUAUUGCGCAAACCGCAAUAACCGCAAACCCGCUGAAGUAAAACAUUCUAGUAAGCGGAGGAAAAGAAAAAACAAUCAGUUUUUUAUUUUAUCGGUUUAUGGUUUCCAUAAACUGACGAAAUAAUUAACUGAUCCAUUCCCUUAGUAGUGGCGAGCGAAAAGGGAAGAGCCCAAACCCAGCGAUCCGGAGAGGAGUCAACAAAGAUUAUCCUGUUAGCAGAAUCCGAAUGGAAAGUCGGAACCAAAGAGGGUAAUAGUCCCGUAAGCGAAAACAGUUUAAUGCUCCCGGUUAUCAAUCUUGAGUACGGCGAGGAACGAACGCCUUGUCGGAAACAGGCAAGACUAUUUGCCAAGGCUAAAUACUCAAUAUCACCGAUAGUGAACUAGUACCGCGAGGGAAAGGUGAAAAGCAGCCCGACGAGGGCGAUGAAAUAGAUCCUGAAACCAUAUGCUUACAAAGAGUCGGAGCCUUCAGUGGUGACGGCGUGCUUUUUGCAGAACGAUCCAACGAGUUUUUGUGUAUUGCUUUAUCUAAGGCCUUUGGGCCGGAGAUGCAGGGAAACCGAGUCUGAAUAGGGCGAUUUUCGCUUAUUAUUAAUCGCUUAUCCUUUGGGAUCAACGAUUAAUAAUUCGCGAAUAUGUAGUACACAAAAGACCCGAAGCCAGAGCGAGCUUACCUUGGUCAGGGUGAACCUUGAGUAAUAUCAAGGGGAGGCCCGAACACACGAGCCGUGCAACACUCGGUGAUGAACUGACAACGGAGGUAGAGCACUGAAUGGAAGCGGAUGGCUUUGCCUACUGCUUCUAAUCAAACUCCGAAUGCCGUUGAAUCAGAGCUUGGGAGUCAGACUGUGGGGGCUAAGCUCCAUGGUCAAAAAGGAAACAGCCUAUGAUCAUCAUCUAAGGUCCCUAAAUUAAGUUAAGUGGAAAAGGAGGUGAGAUUUCUCAAACAGCUAGGAGGUUGGCUUAGAAGCAGCCAUCCUUUAAAGAGUGCGUAACAGCUCACUAGUCUAGAGAUUUCGCGCCGAAGAUUCAACGGGGCUCAAACUUAAUACCGAAGAUAUGAAUGCGAGCGCAGCUCGCGGACAAUUAACCUGUAACAUUUGACAGUUAACCCAAGAAGUUAAUUGUUAAUUGUAAAAUGUUAACUGUUCGCGAGCUACGCUCGCGUGGUAGGGGAGCAUUUCCAACUGCUGCGAAGCUCACGACGCGAGUCGGAGUGGAGCGUUGGGAAGAGAGAAUGUUGGAAUAAGUAACCACAAUGCCGGUGAAAGACCGGCACACCGCAAGCCUAAGGUUUCCUUGGCAAUGUUUAUCAACCAAGGGUUAGUCGGUCCUAAGGAUAAGCCGAGAGGCGACUCUGAUGGACAGCCGGUUAAUAUUCCGGCACCACUAUCAAUUUUCGACGGGGCGACGCAGCGCUGUAGAUGAAGUGCAUUAUUGGAUUUGCCAUCGGUUAAUCGAGGAGGCGAUACAGGAAAAUCCGUAUCGCAAUACUCCGAGAUUUGCCGGAAGUUCCUUCGGGAACAACUUCGUUGAGCGCGCUGCCAAGAAAAACCUCUAGAGCUAAAUUGACAGUGACCGUACCGAAAACCGACACAGGUGGGCGAGGCGAGUAGCCUCAGGUGAACGAGUGAUUCUUCGUUAAGGAACUCGGCAAUACAGCGGUCGUAAGUUCGCAAUAUGACCCGCCCCGCAAUUGCGGGGCCGCAGCUAAAGACGCCAAGCGACUGUUUACCAAAAACACAGCUCCCUGCUAACUCGCAAGAGGAUGUAUAGGGGGUGACUCCUGACCAGUGCUGGAACGUUAAACCUGGCGGUCGUUUUUGUCGCAAGACAGGAACGGCUAUCCGGGCUAAGCGCCAGUGAACGUCCGCGGUAACUAUAAAAUUGAACCGUGUUAAAGUAGCAAAAUACCUUGUCGGGUAAGUUCCGACGCGCAUGAAAGGAGUAACGACUCGGCGACUGUCUCAACGAAGAGCUCGGUGAAAAUGCAAUUCCGGUAAAGAUGCCGGGUACCUGCAGCAAGACGAAAAGACCCCGGAAGCUUUACUGCAGCUUGGUAUUGUGUUUUGUGUUUGGAUACGUAGCGUAGCGGGUAGGAUUUGAAGUCCAGGUUUCGGCCUGGAUGGAUCCGCCAAUGAAACACCCGUUUUCCAAAUGCUUUAUACUAACUGCGCUUUUCGAUUUUGUUCCUUGAUCGGGAGCAGAAUCGAAAAGCGCAAAACAGUGCCAGGUGGGCAGUUUAAGUGGGGCGCUUGCCCCUAAAGAGUAACGGAGGCGUUUAUCAAGGUUGGCUAGUCCCGAAUGGAAACCGGGACGAUAGGGUAAAGCCAGAAGCCAGCUUUACUGCAAGACGGGCAUGUCGCGCAGUCGCGAAAGCGGAACUUAGUGAACCGACCAUACUUCAUAGGAAGGUGGAAGAUCAUCGGCCAAAAGCUACUCCGGGGAUAACAGGCUGGUAGUGUCCAAGAGUCCAUAUCGACGACACUGUUCGGCACCUCGAUGUCGGCUCAUCUCAUCCUGGGGGUGAAGAAGCUCCCAAGGGUUUGGCUGUUCGCCAAUUAAAGAGGUACGUGAGCUGGGUUCAAACCGUCGUGAGACAGGUUGGUCUCCUAUCUACUGCAUCCGUUGAUUUUUGAGGGGGGU
rnacentral:rRNA from 1 species